rnacentral:misc_RNA from 1 species
GAUGAAGAACGUAGCGAAAUGCGAUAAGUAGUGUGAAUUGCAGAAUUCAGUGAAUCAUCGAAUCUUUGAACGCACAUUGCGCCCCUUGGUAUUCCGGGGGGCAUAUCUGUUCGAGCGUCAUUUGAAACCUCAAGCUCAGCUUGGUGUUGGGUGUCUGUCCCCGCCUCACCGCGGGGACUCGCCUCAAAAUCAUUGGCGGCCGGUACGUUGGCUUCGAGCGCAGCAGAAACGCGAACUCGAGGCCCGGCGGAUCGGCGACCAGAAGUCACUUCUUCACAGUUUGACCUCGGAUCAGGUAGGGAUACCCGCUGAACUUAAGCAUAUCAAUAAGCGGAGGA